UAAAAUAUAGUCUAUAAUCCAAUAGUCCAAUAUAAAUAUAAAGAAAGUUGCAUAAUCCAAAAGUCCAAAAUUACAUGAUCCAAAUUCCAUUUUAGUCCAAUAUAAUUAUAGUGUUGGCUAUUUAUUUCAUUUUAGCUGAUGAAUCUUUCGAUUGUGAUGAAUAAAAGACAUAUUUUCAUGAUGCAAUUUAAGCUCUUAUUCUAAUUUCCUAAAUUAUUCACAUAAUAUUUUUAUUUACACAUUCAAACAAGAUUAAAUAACAGUUAACACAAUCUAGAACAGAAUACUUCACAGCCAUGGGUUUACUUCAACUGAAAUUAUAUUGUAUAUAUAUAUAUAGUUAGUUAGUUAGUACCUAGUGAGGGUUUGAAUUUUCCUGCAGCCUCAACUCGAUUAUUUGUAAGGCGAGAUUCUUUUCCUUUCACUCUUCCUAAUUGAAAUUCAAGAAAUUAAAAGAAAGAACAACCUUUUGUCAUUGUGAUGAAGGAGACUGGUUCUUUCUUGAGAUCUAUUCACCAAAAAAGAAACUUUUGCAUGCCCACAGGAAAAAACAACCACAAUAACUCACUACUAAUCACUAGUUUAAAGGCUUAAAUAUAAUUAAAAUAUAGAUAACUUAAUAAAAUAAACUUCAAUGACAUAAAAGAAACUAACGAGAUGUAGAACCUAGGAGCUAUGAAUUUGAUUGGCCAUAGCUUCUGAAAGUUAACUUUUUUUUUAGCAAGCAGUGUUUCUU
rnacentral:lncRNA from 1 species